rnacentral:lncRNA from 10 species
GGAUUUUUGUAUGUUUGUUUUGGUUUGUUUUGGGAUGCACAAAUAAUCCCAUUUUAUCCAGUGGGAGCUCCUUCAAGUUGGCACCUGAGUCCUUUUGACAUGCCCCUCGUGGUGUUUGGUCACUUUCUCGCUUUCUGGUUCAGGAUGUUCUGGGCUCAUCUUGUGUAUUUGUUGCCCCAGACCUGGAAACAGGCAAUUCUCCAAGAAGCCUUGGUUCCCUUCAGUGAGAAAAGAUACUUAGAGACCACAGUUUGGGCACUAUACGUGCUCAACCAGAGACAGCUUCUUUUCUUUUUGUUUCUCAAUCUUCUCGAAUAACUUGAGUCUGGGCCAAGUGCAUCUGAAGGACACCACACUCUGCCCCAUUAAGUGUGUUUCUCCUGGAUCCCAGGUUGUCUCUUCCUUGGAGUUCUAGAAAACUGGUGUCAGU